rnacentral:rRNA from 1 species
CAACGCCGCGUGGAGGAUGAAGCCCCUUGGGGGCGUAAACUCCUUUCGAUCGGGACGAUUAUUGACGGUACCGGAAGAAGAAGCCCCGGCUAACCUUCGUGC